GCUGGCGGCAUGCCUAACACAUGCAAGUCGAACGCUCUUGGGGCUUCGGUCCCAAGGAGUGGCGCACGGGUGAGUAGCGCGUGGGAACCUGCCCUGUUGUGGGGGAUAACCGAGGGAAACUUCGGCUAAUACCGCAUGCGCCCCGGAGCAAUCCGGGGGAAAGAUUUAUCGCAGCAGGAGGGGCCCGCGUCGGAUUAGCUGGUUGGUGGGGUAACGGCCUACCAAGGCGAUGAUCCGUAGCUGGUCUGAGAGGAUGAUCAGCCACACUGGGACUGAGACACGGCCCAGACUCCUACGGGAGGCAGCAGUGGGGAAUAUUGGACAAUGGGCGCAAGCCUGAUCCAGCAAUGCCGCGUGAGUGAUGAAGGCCUUAGGGUUGUAAAGCUCUUUCGGCGGGGACGAUGAUGACGGUACCCGCAGAAGAAGCCCCGGCUAACUUCGUGCCAGCAGCCGCGGUAAUACGAAGGGGGCGAGCGUUGUUCGGAUUUACUGGGCGUAAAGGGCGCGUAGGCGGCGCCGGAAGUCAGGCGUGAAAGCCCCGGGCUCAACCUGGGAAUGGCGCUUGGGACUCUGGUGCUCGAGUUCGGGAGAGGAGAGUGGAAUUCCCA
rnacentral:rRNA from 1 species